AACGAACGCUGGCGGCAUGCCUAACACAUGCAAGUCGAACGAGACCUUCGGGUCUAGUGGCGCACGGGUGCGUAACGCGUGGGAACCUGCCCUUAGGUUCGGAAUAACUCCCCGAAAGGGGUGCUAAUACCGGAUAAUGUCUUCGGACCAAAGAUUUAUCGGCUUUGGAUGGGCCCGCGUCGGAUUAGCUAGUUGGUAGGGUAAAGCCUACCAAGGCGACGAUCCAUAGCUGGUUUGAGAGGAUGAUCAGCCACACUGGGACUGAGACACGGCCCAGACUCCUACGGGAGGCAGCAGUGGGGAAUAUUGGACAAUGGGCGAAAGCCUGAUCCAGCAAUGCCGCGUGAGUGAUGAAGGCCUUAGGGUUGUAAAGCUCUUUUACCCGGGAUGAUAAUGACAGUACCGGGAGAAUAAGCUCCGGCUAACUCCGUG
rnacentral:rRNA from 1 species